rnacentral:rRNA from 1 species
UCAAGUUAUUAAGGGUGCAGGGCGGAUGCCUUGGCACUAGGAGCCGAUGAAGGACGUGAUAAGCUGCGAUAAGCUUCGGGGAGUUGCACGUAAACUUUGAUCCGAAGAUUUCCGAAUGAGGAAACUCACUUAGAGUAAUGUCUAAGUAUCAUUAAGUGAAUACAUAGCUUAAUGAGGGGAACUCAGGGAACUGAAACAUCUAAGUACCUGAAGGAAGAGAAAGAAAUUCGAUUCCGUAAGUAGCGGCGAGCGAACGCGGAUUAGCCCAAACCAAUAAAGUUUUCUUUAUUGGGGUUGCGGACAUAUCAUAACGAAGAGGUAUCGUAAUUGAAGAGGUUUGGAAAGACCCACCACAGAAGGUAAUAGUCCUGUAUGUUAAACGAGAAGACUUUAGAUAUGAUCCAGAGUACCACGGGACACGUGAAACCCUGUGGGAAGCAGGAGGGACCACCCUCCAAGGCUAAAUACUACCUAGUGACCGAUAGCGUAUAGUACCGUGAGGGAAAGGUGAAAAGAACCCCGGGAGGGGAGUGAAAUAGAACCUGAAACCCUGCACUUACAAGCUGUGGAAGCACAUUUCUUGUGUGACCGCGUACUUUUUGUAGAACGGGCCAACGAGUUACGUUAAGUAGCAAGGUUAAGCACUUAAGGUGCGGAGCCGUAGCGAAAGCGAGUUUUAACUGAGCGUUCAGUUACUUGACGUAGACCCGAAACCGGGCGACCUACCCAUGAGCAGGAUGAAGCGAAAGUAAAAUUUCGUGGAGGUCCGAACCCACGAGCGUUGAAAAGCUCGGGGAUGACUUGUGGGUAGCGGUGAAAUUCCAAUCGAGCCCGGAGAUAGCUGGUUCUCCCCGAAAUAGCUUUAGGGCUAGCCUCAAGGUGAGAGAUACGGAGGUAGAGCACUGAAUGUCCUAGGGGGUAUUGCACCUACCGAAGACUAUCAAACUCCGAAUGCCGUCAUCUUAUACUUGGGAGUCAGACUGUGGGUGAUAAGAUUCAUAGUCGAAAGGGCAACAGCCCAGAUCGUCAGCUAAGGUCCCUAAAUGUAAGUUAAGUGGUAAAGGAUGUGGGAUUGCACAGACAACCAGGAUGUUGGCUUAGAAGCAGCCACUCAUUCAAAGAGUGCGUAAUAGCUCACUGGUCGAGUGAUCCUGCGCCGAAGAUUUCCGGGGCUAAAACUUACUACCGAAGCUACGGCAUCAGUAAUGAUGGGUAGGGGAGCUUCCCAUACGGGUUGAAGCAUGACCGUAAGGACAUGUGGACAGUAUGGGAGUGAGAAUGUUGGCAUGAGUAGCGAGAUGUGGGUGAGAAUCCCACAGGCCGUAAACCCAAGGUUUCCAGGGGAAGGUUCGUCCGCCCUGGGUUAGUCGGGACCUAAGCUGAGGCCGAAAGGCGUAGGUGAUGGACAACAGGUUGAUAUUCCUGUACUACCGAUAACCGUUUGAGAGAAGGGAUGACACAGUAGGAUAAGCUAAGCACACUGUUGGUUAUGUGUGCCCAAGCAUUGAGGCAGUCAAAGUAGGUAAAUCCGCUUUGAUAAUGCUGGGAUGUGAUGGGGAGCGAAAUUUAGUAGCGAAGUAGCUGAUUUCACACUGUCAAGAAAAGUCUCUAUCGAGGUUAAAGGUACCCGUACCGCAAACCGACACAGGUGGGUGAGGAGAGUAUCCUAAGGCCAGCGAGAGAACUGUUGUUAAGGAACUCGGCAAAAUGACCCCGUAACUUAGGGAUAAGGGGUGCCACCAUCAGGUGGCCGCAGAGAAUAGGCCCAAGCGACUGUUUACCAAAAACAUAGGUUUCUGCUAAGUCGCAAGACGAUGUAUAGGAGCUGACGCCUGCCCGGUGCUGGAAGGUUAAGGGGAUCUGUUAGAGCAAUCGAAGCAGUGAACUUAAGCCCCAGUAAACGGCGGCCGUAACUAUAACGGUCCUAAGGUAGCGAAAUUCCUUGUCGGGUAAGUUCCGACCCGCACGAAAGGCGUAACGAUUUGGGCACUGUCUCAACAACAGACUCGGUGAAAUUGUAAUUCCGGUGAAGAUGCCGGAUACCUGCGACAGGACGGAAAGACCCCAUGGAGCUUUACUGUAGCUUGACAUUGGGUCUUGGUACUACAUGUACAGGAUAGGUGGGAGGCUUUGAAACCAGGACGCCAGUUUUGGCGGAGCCAUCCUUGGGAUACCACCCUUGUAGUACUGGGACUCUAACCAUAGGCCAUGAAUCUGGUCUUGGGACACUGUCAGGUGGGCAGUUUGACUGGGGCGGUCGCCUCCCAAAAGGUAACGGAGGCGCUCAAAGGUUCUCUCAGUACGGUCGGAAAUCGUACGUAGAGUGUAAAGGCAAAAGAGAGCUUGAUUGCAAGACAUACAGGUCGAGCAAGGAUGAAAAUCGGACUUAGUGAUCCGGUGGUUCUGCGUGGAAGGGCCAUCGCUCAACGGAUAAAAGCUACCCUGGGGAUAACAGGCUUAUCUCCCCCAAGAGUCCACAUCGACGGGGAGGUUUGGCACCUCGAUGUCGGCUCAUCACAUCCUGGGGCUGUAGUAGGUCCCAAGGGUUGGGCUGUUCGCCCAUUAAAGUGGUACGCGAGCUGGGUUCAGAACGUCGUGAGACAGUUCGGUCCCUAUCCGUCGCAGGCGUAGGAAAUUUGAGAAGACCUGUCCUUAGUACGAGAGGACCGGGAUGGACGUACCUCUGGUGUACCAGUUGUUCUGCCAAGGGCAUGGCUGGGUAGCUAUGUACGGAAUGGAUAAGCGCUGAAAGCAUCUAAGCGCGAAGCCAACUUCAAGAUAAGAUUUCCCACCGCAAGGGUAAGACCCCAGAAAGACUAUCUGGUUGAUAGGUCGAAGGUGUAAGUGCAGCAAUGUAUUUAGCUUAUCGAUACUAAUAGGUCGAGGACUUGACCAA